rnacentral:lncRNA from 1 species
CCCCUGUGGCCCUCCUUCGGUGAUCCCCAAGCUUCUAUUUCGCUGAUUUUUUAUAUAUUUUUCCUGGAUUUUUUCAGGCUUCGGAAAAUUGGGUAAAACCCCUGCAAAAUAGAUAUCAGCAGACAGAAACUAGCACUGGGUGCACUGAGUUAUUAGGUUAGUCCAAAUAUAUGUAAAAUUAUAUAAAAGUGUAGCAAAACAUAUAACAUUGUCACCCAAAAGAUCAUGGAAAAAGCUGUAAUUAUAGAUACGUUUGGGAUGUAUCAAUCCC